rnacentral:miRNA from 1 species
UACACAUUCUAAGAAAAGUGCU